rnacentral:rRNA from 1 species
UACGUAGGGCGCAAGCGUUGUCCGGAAUUACUGGGCGUAAAGGGCGCGUAGGCGGCUUUUCAAGUCGGGCGUGAAAUCUCCGGGCUUAACCCGGAAGGGUCGUUCGAUACUGUUGAGCUAGAGUGUGGAAGAGGCAACUAGAAUUCCGUGUGUAGCGGUGAAAUGCGUAGAUAUACGGAGGAAUACCUGAGGCGAAGGCGGGUUGCUGGGCCAACACUGACGCUGAGGCGCGAAAGCCAGGGGAGCAAACGGG